ensembl:snoRNA
GCCGAGACUAGAGUCACAUCUUGACACAACUCUUGUCCCGGUGUGCUAGAGUCCUUGAAGAGAAUCUGCUGGUCUUGAUUCACUGGCAGGGGCAAUCAGUGCCCCCGUUAGUGCCCAGAUCAGUAACAUUC